GAUGAACGCUGGCGGCGUGCCUAAUACAUGCAAGUCGAGCGAACAGACGAGGAGCUUGCUCCUUUGACGUUAGCGGCGGACGGGUGAGUAACACGUAGGUAACCUACCUAUAAGACUGGGAUAACUUCGGGAAACCGGAGCUAAUACCGGAUAAUAUUUCGAACCGCAUGGUUCGAUAGUGAAAGAUGGCUUUGCUAUCACUUAUAGAUGGACCUGCGCCGUAUUAGCUAGUUGGUAAGGUAACGGCUUACCAAGGCAACGAUACGUAGCCGACCUGAGAGGGUGAUCGGCCACACUGGAACUGAGACACGGUCCAGACUCCUACGGGAGGCAGCAGUAGGGAAUCUUCCGCAAUGGGCGAAAGCCUGACGGAGCAACGCCGCGUGAGUGAUGAAGGUCUUCGGAUCGUAAACUCUGUUAUUAGGGAAGAACAAACGUGUAAGUAACUGUGCACGUCUUGACGGUACCUAAUCAGAAAGCCACGGCUAACUACGUG
rnacentral:rRNA from 1 species